CUCUGGGAAAGUGGAGAAUAGUCCCCGGAAGGAUGGAUCCAGGGAUGAGACCCAGCUCUGCUCUCGUGCAUGAACAGUUAAUCAAUUGUUAAGAUGUGUAGGCAGCAAUGAAAGGAUGUGGAGAAGAUAGUGCACUUGUAAAUAAAAAUGCAAGGAUAAACAUUAGUUGUAUGCACAAAGAUCUUUUAAUGACGGGGUGAAAUUUGAAAGUGAGUCUUCCUGAUGUUUAAGUGGUAUUGAGUGUGGAAAGGCUUCAGGAUGAAUUUGGGAUUUCAGGAGUUUGAAGUAGGAUGAAGUGCUUAGACGUCAAAAAAUGUUAGAGCUGAUAGGGGCCUUAAGAAUCAUCUUAUUGUACCCCUAGCCUUUUAAAAAAGCAUUAUUUGAAGAAUAGUUAUUGACCCCACCCCCACCCCCC
rnacentral:lncRNA from 10 species